UCCAUCUCGUGCUCUCUCCCCAUCUCGAGCUCUCUCUCCAUAUCGUGCUCUCUCCAUCUCUCCAUCUCGUGCUUUCUCCAUCUCUCCAUCUCUCCAUCUCUCUCCAUCUCGUGCUCUCUCUCUCUCUCCAUCUCGUGCUUUCUCCAUCUCGAGCUCACUCUUCAUCACUCCAUCUGGAAACCAACGGGACUCACCUCUUCUUUCUGUUCAGACCCCUCAGGCUCUCAAGCUCUCGACGACCCUCUUAGCACUCUCUCAACGGGACAAACAUCUCGUGAACUCUCUCUCCCCGUCAAACAUCUCGUGAACUCUCUCGAGAGCAAGAACCUCAUUGACCUCAACGAGCUUCUUAGAGAGUUUUACUUUGCUUUAUCCCUCUACAGCAGAUGCUCUCUUGUCUCAAGCUCACACUGCUGAGCUCACUCUCUCGAGUCUUCAGUUCUUGAGGUUUGCAGGCUCUCUUGUAUCACAGUCUCUUCUCUCUCACUUACAAGUCCACAUCAACUUUACUCUUCAGCCUGCCAAGCUCUCACUCUCAAGCUCACUCUCUCUUUAAAGUGUAAGUGAUGCUGGUUCCUGUUUUUAAGCAAUC